rnacentral:rRNA from 1 species
UACGUAGGCAGCGAGCGUUGUCCGGAAUUACUGGGCGUAAAGAGUGUGUAGGCGGCGCUCUAAGUUCGGUGUGAAAUCUCCUGGCUCAACUGGGAGGGUGCGCCGGAAACUGGAGUGCUUGAGCGUGGGAGAGGAAAGCGGAAUUCCUGGUGUAGCGGUGAAAUGCGUAGAUAUCAGGAGGAACACCUGUGGUGUAGACGGCUUUCUGGACCAUAGCUGACGCUGAGACACGAAAGCGUGGGUAGCAAACAGG